GAUGAACGCUGGCGGCGUGCCUAAUACAUGCAAGUCGAGCGAACGGACGAGAAGCUUGCUUUUCUGAUGUUAGCGGCGGACGGGUGAGUAACACGUGGAUAACCUACCUAUAAGACUGGGAUAACUUCGGGAAACCGGAGCUAAUACCGGAUAAUAUUUUGAACCGCAUGGUUCAAAAGUGAAAGACGGUCUUGCUGUCACUUAUGGAUGGAUCCGCGCUGCAUUAGCUAGUUGGUAAGGUAACGGCUUACCAAGGCAACGAUGCAUAGCCGACCUGAGAGGGUGAUCGGCCACACUGGAACUGAGACACGGUCCAGACUCCUACGGGAGGCAGCAGUAGGGAAUCUUCCGCAAUGGGCGAAAGCCUGACGGAGCAACGCCGCGUGAGUGAUGAAGGUCUUCGGAUCGUAAAACUCUGUUAUUAGGGAAGAACAUAUGUGUAAGUAACUGUGCACAUCUUGACGGUACCUAAUCAGAAAGCCACGGCUAACUACGUGCCAGCAGCCGCGGUAAUACGUAGGUGGCAAGCGUUAUCCGGAAUUAUUGGGCGUAAAGCGCGCGUAGGCGGUUUUUUAAGUCUGAUGUGAAAGCCCACGGCUCAACCGUGGAGGGUCAUUGGAAACUGGAAAACUUGAGUGCAGAAGAGGAAAGUGGAAUUCCAUGUGUAGCGGUGAAAUGCGCAGAGAUGUGGAGGAACACCAGUGGCGAAAGCGACUUUCUGGUCUGUAACUGACGCUGAUGUGCGAAAGCGUGGGGAUCAAACAGGAUUAGACACCCUGGUAGUCCACGCCGUAAACGAUGAGUGCUAAGUGUUAGGGGGUUUCCGCCCCUUAGUGCUGCAGCUAACGCAUUAAGCACUCCGCCUGGGGAGUACGACCGCAAGGUUGAAACUCAAAGGAAUUGACGGGGGCCCGCACAAGCGGUGGAGCAUGUGGUUUAAUUCGAAGCAACGCGAAGAACCUUACCAAAUCUUGACAUCCUUUGACAACUCUAGAGAUAGAGCCUUCCCCUUCGGGGGACAAAGUGACAGGUGGUGCAUGGUUGUCGUCAGCUCGUGUCGUGAGAUGUUGGGUUAAGUCCCGCAACGAGCGCAACCCUUAAGCUUAGUUGCCAUCAUUAAGUUGGGCACUCUAAGUUGACUGCCGGUGACAAACCGGAGGAAGGUGGGGAUGACGUCAAAUCAUCAUGCCCCUUAUGAUUUGGGCUACACACGUGCUACAAUGGACAAUACAAAGGGCAGCGAAACCGCGAGGUCAAGCAAAUCCCAUAAAGUUGUUCUCAGUUCGGAUUGUAGUCUGCAACUCGACUACAUGAAGCUGGAAUCGCUAGUAAUCGUAGAUCAGCAUGCUACGGUGAAUACGUUCCCGGGUCU
rnacentral:rRNA from 1 species